rnacentral:rRNA from 1 species
AACGAACGCUGGCGGCAUGCCUAACACAUGCAAGUCGAACGAGACCUUCGGGUCUAGUGGCGCACGGGUGCGUAACGCGUGGGAACCUGCCCUUAGGUUCGGAAUAACUCCCCGAAAGGGGUGCUAAUACCGGAUAAUGUCUUCGGACCAAAGAUUUAUCGCCUUUGGAUGGGCCCGCGUUGGAUUAGCUAGUUGGUGAGGUAAAGGCUCACCAAGGCGACGAUCCAUAGCUGGUCUGAGAGGAUGAUCAGCCACACUGGGACUGAGACACGGCCCAGACUCCUACGGGAGGCAGCAGUGGGGAAUAUUGGACAAUGGGCGGAAAGCCUGAUCCAGCAAUGCCGCGUGAGUGAUGAAGGCCCUAGGGUUGUAAAGCUCUUUUACCUAGGGAUGAUAAUGACAGUACCUGGAGAAUAAAGCUCCGGCUAACUCCGUGCCAGCAGCCGCGGUAAUACGGAGGGAGCUAGCGUUGUUCGGAAUUACUGGGCGUAAAGCGCACGUA